rnacentral:rRNA from 1 species
GUCCGAGUUGUAAUUUGCAGAGGAUGCUUCGGGUGCGGUCCCCGUCUAAGUGCCCUGGAACGGGCCGUCAUAGAGGGUGAGAAUCCCGUCUGGGAUGGGCGGCCGCGCCCGUGUGAAGCUCCUUCGACGAGUCGAGUUGUUUGGGAAUGCAGCUCUAAGCGGGUGGUAAAUUUCAUCUAAAGCUAAAUACUGGCCGGAGACCGAUAGCGCACAAGUAGAGUGAUCGAAAGAUGAAAAGCACUUUGAAAAGAGAGUUAAACAGCACGUGAAAUUGUUGAAAGGGAAGCGUUGUCCACCANACUCGCCCGGGGGGGUUCAGCCGGCACGUGUGCCGGUGUACUCCUCUCCGGGCGGGCCAGCAUCGGUUUGGGCGGUUGGUGAAAGGCCCCGGGAAUGUAACACCCUCCGGGGUGCCUUAUAGCCCGGGGUGCCAUACAGCCAGCCUGGACCGAGGCCCGCGCUUCGGCGAGGAUGCUGGCGUAAUGGUGGUCAACGGCCCGU